GGGCGUGUGUUGGAACUGGUAGACAAGGCAGAUUUAGGAUCUGUUGGGUUCUUGCCCGUGCGGGUUCAACUCCCGCCAUGCCCACCA
rnacentral:tRNA from 1 species